ACUCUCAACGUACUUUGUCCCCAAAUCACUCCAAAGAAUCCCGUAGUUAAAGCCUCUCUUCCAUAGGAACCCUCUUUUACCCUCUGCUCUCUACUCUACGCCAAUCAAUUGAAGUUCAUCUCCAAAUCAAAAGUGUUAGUAGUUGUGACAACUAACUAUGAGAUAUUAAAGGUGAUUGAGCAAUCAUGUCCCCCUUCUCAAUACAAUCACAGGUCUCCAGUUACCUUGCUAGUUCCUUCUCAAUUGGCAACUGCAAAAAAAAAGGGAUUGGUUCCCUGGUCUCCAACUUAAACCAAAAUCAAGUGUUUAUAGCCCCAUAAGGCACGUGAUCCCUCUUCCCUUUGCUCAACCUAUUCCUCCAUAUCAGUUUACUCAUCCAAAAGGCACUUUUAGCCUACUUUGUAACUUUCUCUCCUAAUAAAAGAUCCCGCCAACUUCAUCCAAGUUAUAAUUGUUAUAGAUCAUUCAAAUUAACAAUUCUCAAAAAAGUAAUUGUUACUAGCCGAUUCACCAUAAUUUCCGACAAUAAGAACUCCCUCC
rnacentral:lncRNA from 1 species